AGUGAACGCUGGCGGUAGGCCUAACACAUGCAAGUCGAACGGCAGCACAGUAAGAGCUUGCUCUUACGGGUGGCGAGUGGCGGACGGGUGAGGAAUACAUCGGAAUCUACUUUUUCGUGGGGGAUAACGUAGGGAAACUUACGCUAAUACCGCAUACGACCUACGGGUGAAAGCAGGGGAUCUUCGGACCUUGCGCGAUUGAAUGAGCCGAUGUCGGAUUAGCUAGUUGGCGGGGUAAAGGCCCACCAAGGCGACGAUCCGUAGCUGGUCUGAGAGGAUGAUCAGCCACACUGGAACUGAGACACGGUCCAGACUCCUACGGGAGGCAGCAGUGGGGAAUAUUGGACAAUGGACGCAAGCCUGAUCCAGCCAUACCGCGUGGGUGAAGAAGGCCUUCGGGUUGUAAAGCCCUUUUGUUGGGAAAGAAAAGCAGCAGGUUAAUACCCCGCUGUUCUGACGGUACCCAAAGAGUAAGCACCGGCUAACUUCGUG
rnacentral:rRNA from 1 species